rnacentral:rRNA from 1 species
UACGUAGGGGGCAAGCGUUGUCCGGAAUCAUUGGGCGUAAAGCGCGUGUAGGCGGCCCGGUAAGUCCGCUGUGAAAGUCGGGGGCUCAACCCUCGGAUGCCGGUGGAUACUGUCGGGCUUGAGUACGGAAGAGGCGAGUGGAAUUCCUGGUGUAGCGGUGAAAUGCGCAGAUAUCAGGAGGAACACCAAUUGCGAAGGCAGCUCGCUGGGACGUUACUGACGCUGAGACGCGAAAGCGUGGGGAGCAAACAGG